rnacentral:tRNA from 1 species
GAGGGUAUAGCUCAGUGGGAGAGCGCGUGCUUAGCAUGCACAAGCUCUUGGUUCAAUCCCCAGUCCUCC